rnacentral:rRNA from 1 species
GUGAGGAAUAUUGCGCAAUGGAGGCAACUCUGACGCAGCCAUGCCGCGUGCAGGAAGAAGGCGCUACGCGUUGUAAACUGCUUUUAACCGGGAAGAAACCCCAGGACGUGUCCUGGGUUGACGGUACCGGAGGAAUAAGCACCGGCUAACUUCGUGCCAGCAGCCGCGGUAAUACGAAGGGUGCAAGCGUUAUCCGGAUUCAUUGGGUUUAAAGGGUGCGUAGGCGGAGCGUUAAGUCAGUGGUGAAAUCCUGCAGCUUAACUGUAGACUGGCCAUUGAUACUGGCGCUCUUGAGUGCGCUUGAAGUGGGCGGAAUGUGCCGUGUAGCGGUGAAAUGCUUAGAUAUGGCACAGAACACCAAUUGCGAAGGCAGCUCACUAAGGCGAUACUGACGCUGAGGCACGAAAGCGUGGGGAUCGAACAGGAUUAGAAACCCCUGUAGUCC